UUAAAGGCAUGGAGACUGAAGUCCUCUAUAUCCACAAAGCAGGUACAGCACAGGCAGCAGCAGUGCAGCUUUUCCACUGUCCCACCAUGUGCCUCAUGCUAGCCUAAGGGGAUGUGUUUAAGCUAAGAGAGCUAUUCAGUCUCUAUGGUGUUCAGUCCUUGGCUGCU
rnacentral:sRNA from 1 species